GUAAGGUCUGCCCCAAAAGCUUGUCCAAUUGUCUAUGAAACCUAUGUUAUUCUGCAGGCACCACUUAGACAUCCAGCCAUUGAGUGAUGACAAUCUGCUAUGCAUCUCAUCACCACGGUAAGCAGGGAGGGGACCAGAGCAUAUUACAGUGUCUGACAUCAUGCUUGCAAGUUCACACACCUCUUUAAUGUUAUUUUUAGUGAUCUCCGACUGGUGAAGUCGAACAUCAUUAGCACCGGCGUGAAUAACAAUCUUACUGUAUUUACGUUUAGCAUUAGCCAGCACUUUUAAAUUUGCUAAGAUGUCAGGCGCUCUGGCUCCCGGUAAACAUUGGACUAUGGUGGCUGGUGUCUCUAUUUUCACGUUCCGUACAAUAGAAUCGCCAAUAACUAGAGCACUUUCAUCAGGUUUCUCAGUGGGUGCUUCACUGAGUGGGGGGAACCUGUUUAAUGUUUUGAUCAGAACAGAAGAGUGGUGUUUAGACCCACAACUAUGCCGUCUCACAGUCACCCAGUUGCAUGCAAAAGGCCCUGUUACUGGAACCAAACAAUGUACAGGACUCCCUGAGCUAGACGCAUCCAAAGCCUUAUCUAGAGCCCUCACAUUCUUACUGUCGUCAAUUAAAGUUUGGAUGCGUGUCUUGAAUUCUGAAAUCUUCUCUGUCAGCCUAACUAUUUCUCCACAAUUUCUUGAUGCUGGAAUAUCUGAAGAAAGGCAGAGAAUAGCGGCUCGCAAGGUUUGUAAAAUCUGGAAGCUGGAGUCCUUCCUAGAGUUGCAAAAGCUCAUCCACCAGGGGCUCCAGAAAAUAAUUUACAUGAAGGUUUGGCUAAUUUGGGCCAGGUAUUAGUCCAAUGAUAAUCAUGUUUUCCUCCUUGAAACGUUUGCGAGGUAAGUUUAGUACUACCAUGUAUAUAACACCCACAGAGUACUCACUAUAUUUAUAUGGUGGGUACCAGUCAAUGUUCAUCAUAAGAGCCAAAUUGUUGGGUGCUCCAAGAAAAGGUAUACCAUUCUGAUACUGAAACUCCUUCCAAAUCCUUCCAUCAAAAACAUCUCCCAAAACUCGAAAAAAUCUCGAUAAAUCCUUGUCGACAUAUCAAAGACUUGAGGGACUCGAUUAAACUUCGGUAACAGUAUGAACGUAUGGGGUACAGAAACUCAUUCUGAUUAGGACAUACGAUUUUCUUCAUUAGAGU
ensembl:lncRNA